rnacentral:lncRNA from 1 species
UUAUAAUUUUAAGUAAAUGAAUUUUAUUUUGAAAAAAACUUUGGCAACACAUUUUAAAAAAUCUACAAUUUACAGCAGAAUAUUAAUUGUAAAAAGAUUGUGUUGAUCUGAUAUAAGUUUUUUUUAACCAUGGUUUUAUCCAUCCACUGAUGCUUUAAUUGAUAAACAGGAGAUUCUUGCAAGACAAAAUGUGUGUUCAACAAAAUCAUGUUAUUUUAUUAAAUACACAAUUAGAAGUAAUGGCAGAGCCAUUUUUUUUUUUUUUAAUCAAACUUGCUAGAAAGAUAAGUGUAUUUUUUGUCGAGCUUUUUUUUUUAAAAUGGCUUCUGCUUAUGUGUUACAAGUAAUAUCAAACAAUGAAAUUGUUGUAGUCGUUAUAAAGUCAAAAAUAGACGUAGAUAAGGGAACUUGACUUUAGUUUUGUCUAGAUAUUGAGGUGAGCUUCAUGAGAGAUGGUCUUAAUAUUCAUGAAAUAUAAGAAUACUAAUAAAACCUCCACUAAACUUGGUGUGAAUACAACCACUGCCAAAUCAUAGAACAUCAAUUCAAUGUUACACAGGAUAGCAUAACAAGUUUUACCAUCAUGACAAAUGACAUAAGACUUAAUGGUAAUAAGACACGCAGGAUUCCUGUUAAAUAAGGAUUUAUAUAAAGAGGUUUUAUACUAAUGUAAAAUUUGGCAAAACAAAUAUUUAUGUACCAGUUUGACUUUAUAUGUGAUAGACUGAGAUCAAAUAUGAAAUAAAAUUAUAAUAAUGUCA